AGAGAGACAGAGAGAGGAGGGCAGAGGGGAAGCAUUGCCCUCGUGAUGCGUCAGUUUUCCUUCCAGUGCCCCCUGUUUAGCCUUACAUUCUCACCCUGGGACGACACAGAGUCACAGCUCUGCUCUCCCCAGGCUCCUGCUGAUAGUCUGGAGGAGGUACGACCCCGGCAUCACUGAUCUCCACCGACCUCUGUCUUCUGACCCUGCACGUCUCCGCUCCGCUGAGGCCCGGUCCCACCCGACCGCCUGCGCUCCAACCAGUCUCUCCUGGGAAGCAGCUUGGACCCUUUUUCUUGGCACCGGUAUCCAUCGUCAGCCAGAGAAAGGU
rnacentral:lncRNA from 1 species